AGAACUAACGCUGGCGGCGUGCUGACACAUGCAAGUCGAACGAGAAGCCCGCAAGGGUUGUAAAGUGGCGGACGGGUGCAUAACACGUGGGUAAUCUACCCUUUGGUCUGAGAUAACCUGCCGAAAGGCGGGCUAAUACCGGAUAAGACCACGGCUCUGAGGAGCUGUGGGAAAAGGCCCGCAAGGGUCGCCGAUCGAUGAGCCCGCGGCCUAUCAGGUAGUUGGUGAGGUAAUGGCUCACCAAGCCUACGACGGGUAGCUGGUCUGAGAGGACGACCAGCCACACUGGAACUGAGACACGGUCCAGACUCCUACGGGAGGCAGCAGUGGGGAAUAUUGCGCAAUGGGCGAAAGCCUGACGCAGCAACGCCGCGUGGGUGAUGAAGGCCUUCGGGUUGUAAAGCCCUGUCGCCCGGGACGAAUAAGCUCAUGAAGAAUGAGCCCUGACGGUACCGGGAGAGGAAGCACCGGCUAACUCUGUGCCAGCAGCCGCGGUAAUACAGAGGGUGCUAGCGUUGUUCGGAAUUAUUGGGCGUAAAGGGCGCGUAGGCGGCCUCGCAUGUCGAAUGUGAAAGCCCACCUCUUAAAGGUGGAAUUGCAUUCGAAACUGCAAGGCUAGAGUGCCGGAGAGGGUGGUGGAAUUCCUGGUGUAGAGGUGAAAUUCGUAGAUAUCAGGAGGAACACCGGUGGCGAAGGCGGCCACCUGGACGGUAACUGACGCUGAGGCGCGAAAGCGUGGGGAGCAAACAGGAUUAGAUACCCUGGUAGUCCACGCUGUAAACGAUGGGUGCUAGGUGUUGUGGGUAUUGACCCCCGCAGUGCCGUCGCUAACGCAUUAAGCACCCCGC
rnacentral:rRNA from 1 species